UUCCUGUCUUACAAGUGUUCAAUGUGACCACCACCUGCAGCACAGGCAACAUCAAUACGAUAAGAGAAUUCUUCCCAGACGUGUAUCAGCAUAUCACGAUUCACUGAGUUGAUUGCUUUUUCAAUAUACCUUCAUUUGACUGCAGCCAUGCUGGAGCACCACCUU